rnacentral:misc_RNA from 1 species
GAUGAAUAACGUAGCGAAAUGCGAUAAGUAAUGUGAAUUGCAGAAUUCAGUGAAUCAUCGAAUCUUUGAACGCACAUUGCGCCCGUCAGUAUUCUGGCGGGCAUGCCUGUUCGAGCGUCAUUACGCCCCUCAAGUCCCCUGUGGACUUGGUGUUGGGGAUCGGCGAGGCUGGUUUUCCAGCACAGCCGUCCCUUAAAUUAAUUGGCGGUCUCGCCGUGGCCCUCCUCUGCGCAGUAGUAAAACACUCGCAACAGGAGCCCGGCGCGGUCCACUGCCGUAAAACCCCCCAACUUUUUAUAGUUGACCUCGAAUCAGGUAGGACUACCCGCUGAACUUAAGCAUAUCAAAAGCGGAGGA